rnacentral:rRNA from 1 species
GACGAACGUUGGCGGCGUGCCUAAUACAUGCAAGUAGAACGCUGAAGGAGGAGCUUGCUUCUCUGGAUGAGUUGCGAACGGGUGAGUAACGCGUAGGUAACCUGCCUGGUAGCGGGGGAUAACUAUUGGAAACGAUAGCUAAUACCGCAUAAUAGCAGUUGUUGCAUGACAACUGUUUGAAAGGUGCAAUUGCACCACUACCAGAUGGACCUGCGUUGUAUUAGCUAGUUGGUGGGGUAACGGCUCACCAAGGCGACGAUACAUAGCCGACCUGAGAGGGUGAUCGGCCACACUGGGACUGAGACACGGCCCAGACUCCUACGGGAGGCAGCAGUAGGGAAUCUUCGGCAAUGGACGGAAGUCUGACCGAGCAACGCCGCGUGAGUGAAGAAGGUUUUCGGAUCGUAAAGCUCUGUUGUAAGAGAAGAACGAGUGUGAGAGUGGAAAGUUCACACUGUGACGGUAUCUUACCAGAAAGGGACGGCUAACUACGUG